rnacentral:lncRNA from 10 species
UCUUCCUGGGCACUAGUUGUAAAAGCAACACGUUAUGUGGCACCUAUAUCCACAGACGGAUAAACAGACGUGGCACCUACAUCCACGGACGGACGGGCAGAUAAAGAGACGUGGCAUCUACAUCCAGGGAAAUUGUAUCCAGCCUCAGAAAGGGAGGAAAUUCAGACACACAACGGCAUAUGGGUGAAGCUCAAGGACAUGAGGAGGACAAAUGCUGUCUGAUUCCACCUACGUAAGGUUCCCAGACUGGACAAAUUCGUACAGACAGAAAGCAGGCAGGUGGUUACUGGAGGCUAAGGGUGCAGGAGUGGGGAGUUAUGAUUUAAUGGGGAUGGGGUUUCGGCUGGGGAGGGCCAACAAGUUCUGGAUAUGCACACUGGCAACGGCUGCACAGCACCAAAUCCACCUAUGGCCACGGAGCUGUGCACCCAAAAAUUAUUAUUUUUUGAGAUGGAGUCUCACUCUAUUGCCCAGGCUGGAGUGCAGUGGCAUGAUCUUGGCUCACUGCAACCUCUGCCUCCCAGGUUCAAGCAAUUCUCCAGCCUCAGUGUCCCGAAUAGCUGGGACUACAGGCGUGCACCACCACGCCCGGCUAAUUUUUUUUAAUCUUUGUAGAGAUGGGGUCUCACCAUGUUGGCCAGGCUGGUCUUGAACUCCUGACCUCAGGUGAUCCAUCUACCUCGGCCUCCCAAAGUGCUGGGAUUACAGGCGUGAGCCACCGCGCCCGGCCCCUAAAAUUUAUUAAAAUGGUAACUUUAUGUUAUGUAUAUUUCACUACAAUCUUUUAUUUUUUAUUUUUUUCAGUGGAGAUAGACUCUUGCUCUGUCACCCAGGCUGG